rnacentral:misc_RNA from 1 species
GAUGAAGAACGCAGCGAAAUGCGAUAAGUAGUGUGAAUUGCAGAAUUCAGUGAAUCAUCGAAUCUUUGAACGCACAUUGCGCCCUUUGGUAUUCCUUAGGGCAUGCCUGUUCGAGCGUCAUUAUCACCCCUCAAGCCCUCGGCUUGGUGUUGGACGGUUUGGUGGAGGCCCCCUCGGGGGCUCCUGCCCCUCCCAAAGACAAUGACGGCGGCCUCGUUGGACCCCCGGUACACUGAGUUCUUCACGGGACACGUAUCGGACACAUGGGUUUACGGGACACGGUCUGCCUCCCCUCAGGGAGAAUCUUUCUAAGGUUGACCUCGGAUCAGGUAGGGAUACCCGCUGAACUUAAGCAUAUCAAUAAGCGGAGGA